GCGUCAGUGUUAACCCAGGGGGCUGCCUUCGCCAUCGGUGUUCCUCCACAUAUCUACGCAUUUCACUGCUACACGUGGAAUUCCACCCCCCUCUGCCACACUCGAGUUUCCCAGUUUCAAACGCAGUUCCCAGGUUAAGCCCGGGGAUUUCACACUGACUUAAGAAACCGCCUGCGCACGCUUUACGCCCAGUAAUUCCGAUUAACGCCUGCACCCUACGUAUUACCGCGGCUGCUGGCACGUAGUUAGCCGGUGCUUCUUCUUCAGGUACCGUCAUCAGUCCGUGGUAUUAGCACGGACCAUUUCGUUCCUGCCGAAAGAGCUUUACAACCCGAAGGCCUUCUUCACUCACGCGGCAUGGCUGGAUCAGGCUUGCGCCCAUUGUCCAAAAUUCCCCACUGCUGCCUCCCGUAGGAGUCUGGACCGUGUCUCAGUUCCAGUGUGGCUGAUCAUCCUCUCAGACCAGCUACGGAUCGUCGCCUUGGUGGGCUUUUACCCCGCCAACUAGCUAAUCCGAUAUCGGCCGCUCCUAUAGUGCGAGGUCUUGCGACCCCCGCUUUCCUCCGUAGAGCGUAUGCGGUAUUAAUCCGGCUUUCGCCGGGCUAUCCCCCGCUACAGGGCACGUUCCGAUAUAUUACUCACCCGUUCGCCACUCGCCAUCAACGUGUAUUGCUACACGUCAUGCUGCCGUUCGACUUGCAUGUGUAAGGCAUGCCGCCAGCGUUCAAUCUGAGCCAGGAUCAAACUC
rnacentral:rRNA from 1 species